rnacentral:misc_RNA from 1 species
GUGAAUCAUCGAAUCUUUGAACGCAAAUUGCACUCUCUGGUAUUCCGGAGAGUAUGCCUUUUUGAGGGUCAGGUUUAAUAAAAAUCGGUGUGGUUGCUGCCUUUUGUGGUGAUGCACCGGAUUUGGGUCGUCUUGCCUUCGGUUAUGAGACCUUUAAUUUUGUAUGUUUUUUUUCUAACGUUGUUACA